GGGUCACGUGGCUCCAGCCACACCCACCUCCCUGCUGUUCCUCACCCAGGAUCACCAAGGUCUCUCCUACCCCGGGGCCUGUGCACCUGCUGUGCCUCUGCUUGGGGUGCUCUUCCCAGGGCUUGCCCACCUCCUCAGAGAGGCCUCCUGACCCCUGACACGGCCUUGCCCUUCACCUCUAUCGUCCUUUAGAACAGCCCCCACCUCCCGCACAUCAUGCAGUUGCAGGUUCAAUGGCUACUGCUUGUCCUCCAGACUCCUCUCCACAAGCCAACAGCUCUCUCCUGGCUUUGAUUUUCAACCAUUUAAGUUGAAAAAAAUUCAAAACAAAUGAAAUGCACUUAAGAGAAAGCCUUGAGGAGUUCAGCAGGCCACCCAAAGUGAAGGGACUCCUUUGGGGGUCUUUGUUGUUAUCAAUUAUUUAUUGAGCCCUGAUGUGUUCCUGGCGCCACCAAGACCGAAAGGAGACAGGGUCCCUGCCCUGGGGCAUCCCAACAAAGAAGGGAGAGUUUGUGAAGCUUAAAAAUGUCCCAGAUGGUAAAACAGUUACACGUCAUACCUCAAGGCUGCUCUAUACUUUUAUUAUAGUUUUAUUCUUAAGGCUGUUUAUUUAUUUUCUGAUGUAAAAGGAUAGGCCUCAUCACUCCUCAGAUGAUUCUCGAAGGAUAACACACAGGCCAGUGGGCAGCCCUAGGCCAGGGGGAUUACCAAGACAUGAAGACUUUCUUUCUGUCUCAGCAACCUUCAUGCUUGGUCAAGCAAAGGUGUUGCUUAAGUCAAACCCAGGGCAGGGGAGAGCAGUUGAAGCAAAGUGAGUCUUUGGAGGCCCUGUGGUUGUGGGGUCUGGUGUGGAGACAGUGAGAACGGAAAAGGUGGGAGAGGAGCAGUCAACCCGUGAAUGGCCCCAUUCAGACGCCUUUACCUGGAAGACGUGGCAGGUGAGCAGCAAGUGAGCGGGAGAGUGGGAGAGAGAAUGAGGAAGUGAGGGAGAGAAUGGAUGAGUGAGCACCUGCUUGGAUGAGCCGACACCCACCAGGGAUCAUGAGAACACCGA
ensembl:lncRNA LINC00494 long intergenic non-protein coding RNA 494